GCUGGCGAGGAUUCCCCUAGUAGCUGCGAGCGAGCAGGGACGAGCCCAGCACUGAAUCCCANAGGCCUCGCCUUUAGGGAAAUGUAGUGUUUAGGAGUGCCCGAUUAACCCGGGGUCCGUGCACCGCGUUCAAGUCCGUCUUGAACGGGGCCACGGUCCGAAGAGGGUGCCAGGCCCGUAGAUGACCGGUGCCGGCCCCGGGUGGGCCCCUCCUUAGAGUCGGGCUGCUUGAGAGUGCAGCCCGAAGCGGG
rnacentral:rRNA from 1 species